UCGGUUCGGUGGUUCAGUGGUUGGGUGUUCAAUUGGUAAUGGGAAGGUGCUGGGUUCGGUCCCCAUGCCAUUGAA
rnacentral:tRNA from 16 species